GCAAGUCGAGCGCGUGAAACCGGCGGAUCCCUUCGGGGUGAAGGCGGUGGAACGAGCGGCGGACGGGUGAGUAACACGUGGACGACUUACCUUGCAGACUGGGAUAACUCCGGGAAACCGGAGCUAAUACCGGAUAGGUCACCGGAUCGCCUGAUCCGGUGAUAAAAGCGGGAGCUUCGCUCUCGCCCUGCAAGAUGGGUCCGCGGCGCAUUAUUUAGUUGGUGAGGUAACGGCUCACCAAGGCGACCAUGCGUAGCCGACCUGAGAGGGUGAUCGGCCACACUGGGACUGAGACACGGCCCAGACUCCUACGGGAGGCAGCAGGAGGGAAUCAUCCGCAAUGGACGAAAGUCUGACGGGGCAAGCGCCGCGUGAACGAUGAAGGUUUUCGGAUCGUAAAGUUCUGUUGUGAGGGAAGAACAGGUUCCGUUCGAAUAGGGCGGAGCUAUGACGGUACCUCACGAGAAAGCCCCGGCUAACUACGUGCCAGCAGCCACGGUAAUACGUACGGGGCAAGCGUUGUCCGGAAUUAUUGGGCGUACAGCGCGCGCAGGCGGUCUCUUAAGUCUGAUGUGAAAUCUUGCGGCUCAACCGCAAGCUGGCAUUGGAAACUGGGAGACUUGAGUGUAGGAGAGGAAAGUGGAAUUCCACGUGUAGCGGUGAAAUGCGUAGAUAUGUGGAGGAACACCAGUGGCGAAGGCGACUUUCUGGCCUACUACUGACGCUGAUGUGCGAAAGCGUGUGGAGCAAACAGGAUUAGAUACCCUGGUAGUCCACGCUGUAAACGUUGAGUGCUAGGUGUUAGGGGUUUCGAUACCCUUAGUGCCGAAGUUAACACAUUAAGCACUCCGCCUGGGGAGUACGGCCGCAAGGCUGAAACUCAAAGGAAUUGACGGGGGCCCGCACAAGCAGUGGAGCAUGUGGUUUAAUUCGACGCAACGCGAAGAACCUUACCAGGUCUUGACAUCCUCUGAACACCCGAGAGAUCGGGUUUUCCCCUUCGGGGGACAGAGUGACAGGUGGUGCAUGGUUGUCGUCAGCUCGUGUCGUGAGAUGUUGGGUUAAGUCCCGUAACGAGCGCAACCCCUGAUCUUAGUUGCCAGCAUUGAGUUGGGCACUCUAAGGUGACUGCCGGUGACAAACCGGAGGAAGGCGGGGAUGACGUCAAAUCAUCAUGCCCCUUAUGACCUGGGCUACACACGUGCUACAAUGGAUGGUACAACGGGCAGCGAAGCCGCGAGGUGGAGCCAAUCCCAUAAAGCCAUUCUCAGUUCGGAUUGCAGGCUGCAACUCGCCUGCAUGAAGCCGGAAUUGCUAGUAAUCGCGGAUCAGCAUGCCGCGGUGAAUACGUUCCCGGGCCUUGUACACACCGCCCGUCACACCACGAGAGCUUGUAACACCCGAAGUCGGUGCGGCAACCCUUAGGGGAGCCAGCCGCCGAAGGUGGGACAGGUGAUGGGGUGAAGUCGUA
rnacentral:rRNA from 1 species